UACAGAGGGGGCCAGCGUUAUUCGGAAUUAUUGGGCGUAAAGGGCGCGUAGGCGGCCAUGCGUGUCUCCCGUGAAAUCCCUCGGCUCAACCGAGGACGUGCGGAAGAAACUGCAAGGCUCGAGUCCGGAAGAGGGGGGCGGAAUUCCCAGUGUAGCGGUGAAAUGCGUAGAUAUUGGGAGGAACACCGGCGGCGAAGGCGGCGACCUGGGUCGAUACUGACGCUGAGGUGCGAAAGCGUGGGGAGCAAACAGG
rnacentral:rRNA from 1 species